UCACCAAUUGAUGUGUCUCUCUCACAUUGAUGUUUCUCUCUGUCUCGCCCCCUCCUUUCCACUCUCUCUAAAAAUCAAUGGAAAGGUAUCCUUGGAUAAGGAUUAACAACAACAACAACAAAGAACCAAUCCAUGGCUAACCUUGAGGGCAAGGCCACCGAAGCAGGGAAAGAUGCCAAUGCGUGUGGUUGCUAGUGGCCUGUUUCCCUCCGUGGCUUGAAACACCAUGAUGGCACUGUUCAUUCUCCAACUCGGGGCACUACAGGGACGCCCCACUUUCAGAAGUUUGAGUUACACGCCACUUUGCUUUCGCCAAAGACCUAGCUUGGUACCUGUUUUCGCUGAACGAAAGGAAUUCCAAGAGGGUUUUUACUUUUAUGAAAAGAAGUCGAAAAGAGGCAAAAUGCAGGGGAGCCAUGAGAGUGACCCCGCCAAGCUCCUUCCCCAGAACCACACCCAGCAGCUCAGCAUCAGGCCGCCUAGCUUUGUGCUGUGCCUGUGAGCAUCUCUGCUUCAUCUUGAUGUGUUCUGUGAGUCCGUUAGCAAGAUGUGUCCUAAUGUAUCAAAAGCCUAAGAGAGGUAGGGCCCCUAGCUGGUGUGGGUCAGUGGAUAGAGCGUCGGCCUGCAGACUGAAGGGUCCUGGGUUUGAUUCUGUUCAGGGGCACAGGCCCGGGUUGUGGACUCGAUCUCCAGUAGGGAGGCAGCUGAUCAAUGAUUCUCUUUCAUCAUUGAUGUUUUUCUCUCUCCCACUCCCUUUCUCUCUGAAAUCAAUUAUAUAUAUAAAGCUUUUUAAAAAAGCAUAAGAGAGGAUAUUUUUGGGGGGUCUGAAAUUCUCAAAAAAUUUCCGUAUAAAUCAAGGGUACAUGCCUCUUCACUUUAUGCCAUUUCAGCUUACGGAUAACAGGGGAAACUUGUACAGUUUACUUUGACCCAAGUUUAAGUUUACCGUGACUUUUCUGUUGUACAUAGAUUCAAACACUUGUGACUGAUUUUGUAGCAUGAACAGAACUCUGAUUUAUGUGAUACAAUUUGCAGAGUUGACGGGCCUUGAGUUGUAUGAAUUGGGUGGAAAGGAUGCAUUUUCCUCCCAGCGAGAGAAAGACAUUUCCCCCUACUCCAGCAGGAAAAGAAGUCCCUGCACUUCCACUCACCUGUUCAUUGACUCGCUUGCAGAAGAUGGCGAGCAGGAAGACAGCGGCGAUGGGCGGCCCCAGGUAGCUAGAGAUGGAUUCUAUGUAAUGAAACAGCUGUCCGUUUUGAGACACUUGUACCAGCGGGACCCACAAAAUGCUGAUGAUAAUUAACAGGAUGAUGAACAGCCUGGGAAGCAAACAAAAGGAAGGGAUGAUUAAGCGGAAGCAUCACUGAGAAAUUUAAGACAGAAACCAGGGUUCUCUCACCUCCCAGCGAUCAGGAGCUCCCUCUCCGAGGCCUGCUUCCGGAUCUUCGUGUAGAGGUCCAUGGUGAAGAGGGUGCUGGCGCUGUUGAAGAUGGAGGUCAGGGAGCUCAUGAGAGAUGCCAACAUGACUGACAGCAUCAGGCCUCGCAGCCCUGCGGCCGGAAGAGGAGGCAACCACGAGUUAGGAACUGGACGCCAUGAGCUGUGAUCACUUGCCAACCAGAGGGCCAUUCAAAGGUUUUCAGGAAAAUAAACACGUUUUCUCCAGGCCCAGUUGUGAAAACAUGAAAUGAGGAUGCGGCUGAUCAUUCCUGGCAUCACCAUGAGGAACAUGGGCAGCAGCUUCAGGUACCCACACAUGAUGCAGGCGGCCUUCACGUGGGACAUGUCCUUGCCGGAGAGGCAGCGCUGCACGAUGACCUGCCGGGAGAACACGCCUCGUCAUGGGACAGCCGGAGGACACAUACGGGAGGGGAGCGCCUCUUCAGGGACUAGCGUGCCAAUGAGAAGUGGGACGGUGACGAGAGAAGAAUGAGCUUCGGAGGAAAAUCCGGAUUUGGAUCCCCGCUCCUCCCACAUGAGCAUUUGACUUCUGUGAGUUUCAGGUUUCUCAUCUGUAAAUAGGGUUCUUUCUUUCUUUUUGUAAAAAAGUAUAUUGAUAUUGACGACAGAGAGGAAGGGAGAGGGAG